CAGAAGUGCAUCCUUAGCCAGGCCAGCUCAGCGCUGGGGAGAAGCAAGCCCAGAGAAGAUGCUGCAGACAAGGAGGAACAGGGGCUCCCACAGCACCCAUUCCACCAACUGAGAAAGAGACCACAGGCACAGAAGAGGGCACCACAGCAGGACAGUCCAAUCAGGGCUCUAGGACCACUUGACCAGGCUCUCCAGGCAGUGCCAGUGGCUCCACUGUGUCUGGAUCAUCUGUGGCAGGGCAACACACCAAGGCUCCAUCAUCCCAGGGCUCUGGCACCACUGGACCAGCACCUAAUGACUCUGGAAAAACAGGGCCACCUGAAGAAAGCUCUGGGACCUCAGGCAAGCCUCAGUAAGGAUGUCAGUCCACAAGCUCAUCUGUCCAUCGACCUGGCACCUCUCAACCAGCUGCAGUGCAGACUAGAACCACUGGGCUAUCUGUCAUGGAGGCAGGAACCACAGGGUAAUCCGUGCAAGACUCCAGGACCACCCAGCCUGGCUCAGCAGGCAGUAGCAGUGGAUCCACUGGGGCUGGAACAGCAGGAGCAGGGCGCCAGACCACGGCUCCAUCAUCCCAGGGCUCUGGCACCACUGGACCAUCUUCUGUUGUCUCUCAGACUUCAAGCCAGUCUAAGGAAGGAUCUGAAUCCACAGACUCAUCUGUCAUAGGAUCUGAUUCCACUUCAACCUCCUUGGUGUACCCAUGGGCACCACUGGAUUCUCUUCUACCCUGCUGGGCACUACUGCUUCCUCGGUGGGCAUUGUCACAACCACAAGAGUUUUUCCUCAGGGAUCCUCUGCUGACACAGCUCCAGCAGUGUGCCGUGGUCCACUGGGAGAAGAAAAAGUGCCUGGAGACACAUGGACGGCCAACUGCCACCAGUGCACCUGCAUGGCUGCCAGGUCUGUGGACUGCAGACCCCGGGAGUGCCCCGCCCCACCCACAUGUGGAGCCGGAGAGAAGGUGGUCACCUUCUCAUCUAGUGAUACAUACCUGCUGUGACAUUGGAC